GCUGUUGUGUAGAUGGACAAGGAGUGACCUGUUUAACAUUCCUCUCAACUCUGGGCUCUUCCAGAACCUGGUCUCAGAAGAAUAGAUUUAAAGGGCAACCAGUAAGGAAUGUGACUCCUCAUAAUAUGAGCUCAGCAAGACCUCUGAUCACUAAAUGCAAAGCUGGCUCCUGUCGCUGUGCUGCUGUAUGACAGCUUAAUAAUGGCUUUCACAGAUUUGGAGAAAUGUAGCAUCCAUCACUUGCUCACCAGUGGAUCCUCUGCAGUGAAUGGGUGCCAUCAGAAUGAGAGUCCAAACGGCUGAUAAAAACAACACAAUAAUCCACAAGUAAUCCACACCACUCCAGUCCAUCAGUUAACAUCUUGUGAAGUGAAAAGCUGUGUGUUUGUAAGAAACAAAUCCAUCAAGAUGUUUUAAUUUUUUAUGAGGGAGUUUGAAGAUGCUGCACUUUCUCCUGAAACUCAUCCAGUGAACGAGUGAACAUGUGGGCCAGACUGACAGGACACCCUGAAGAGAAGAACACAUCAGUUUAG
ensembl:lncRNA